rnacentral:rRNA from 1 species
CAGGAGUGGAGCCGCGGCUUAAUUUGACUCAACACGGGGAAACUCACCCGGCCCGGACACCGUAAGGAUUGACAGAUUGAGAGCUCUUUCUUGAUUCGGUGGGUGGUGGUGCAUGGCCGUUCUUAGUUGGUGGAGCGAUUUGUCUGGUUAAUUCCGAUAACGAACGAGACUCUAGCCUAUUAAAUAGUCCACCGCCGGUGAAUCGUAGCGGUGUCAAUGCGUACUUCUUAGGGGGACUGACGGCGCUCAGCCGUACGAGAUUGAGCAAUAACAGGUCUGUGAUGCCCUUAGAUGUUCGGGGCCGCACGCGCGCUACACUGAAGGUGUCAAAGGGUCGAGUCCUCGCCUGACAAGGUUGGGCAACCCGUGCAGAAACGCUUUCGUGCUAGGGACUGGGGCUUGAAAUUCUUGCCCACGAACGAGGAAUUCCCAGUAAGCGUGAGUCAUCAGCUCACGUUGAUUACGUCCCUGCCCUUUGUACACACCGCCCGUCGCUACUACCGAUUGAACGGUUUAGUGAGGCCCUCGGACGUGCCCCGGGCUGGCAGUCUCUGUCAGUCGCAGGCUGAGCGCGAAAGAUGGUCGAACUUGAUCAUUUAGAGGAAGUAAAAGUCGUAUCAAGGUUUCCGUAGG